UAUUGACUGGCUGUCGCGUGGCAAGCAUUACCGCGUCCUGUGUGCAGAAGCCAUAAGACGGUCUUGAAAUAAGAUUCGACUAUGAAUACCGGCUUUAAUCCGAAUGUACGGGGUGCUUAAAACGUUUAUGGCCGGUCCUGCGAGGAAUAGCUUGCGUUGUAAUCGGCGAUCAGAUAGAUUAUUGUUUGUGUUCGCAAAGUGCGGUACUAUGACGUGCCUGAUGACUUGCAUUGGGACACAUGCGGACGGUGAUAGCUCGCGAUGAACGUGGCGAUAAUCUCGCUAGCAUGAACGAAUGACGCAUAGCGUGCAACAUCACGAAACUAUCGUCGUGACAAUGUUUCGCUGACCACACGGUGACAGCGGCGGGACUUUGAUGGACUAAAAGACGAUCAACAAAUUUUCGGUUAGUCACUAUUGGUUACUGCUUGCUUGUUUCCUAGAGAUUGAUGUUUGAGAUUGGGAAGCGUUAUAGAAAUUAUUACAUUCGCAAUUUAAGGCGUUUUUUGGCGAUCGUUUGAUAAAUAUAGCAAUUUAUCAUGGAACAAAUUUACAUUUGAUAUAUAUAUAUAUAUAUA